rnacentral:rRNA from 1 species
CCUACGGGAGGCAGCAGUGAGGAAUAUUGCACAAUGGGCGCAAGCCUGAUGCAGCAACGCCGCGUGCGGGACGAAGGCCUUCGGGUCGUAAACCGCUUUUCUGAGGGAAGAGCAAGGACGGUACCUCAGGAAUAAGUCUCGGCUAACUACGUGCCAGCAGCCGCGGUAAAACGUAGGAGGCGAGCGUUAUCCGGAUUUACUGGGCGUAAAGCGCACGCAGGCGGCUCUGUGAGUCGGACGUGAAAGCUCUCGGCUUAACCGGGAGAGGUCGUUCGAUACUGCAGGGCUUGAGGUAGGGAGAGGAAUGCGGAAUUCCCGGUGUAGUGGUGGAAUGCGUAGAUAUCGGGAGGAACACCUGUGGCGAAAGCGGCAUUCUGGCCCUCACCUGACGCUGAGGUGCGAAAGCGUGGGUAKCAAACAGGAUUAGAUACCCUGGCAGUCCACGCCGUAAACGAUGUCAACUGGGUGUCGGUAGUUUUACACUAGCGGUGCCGAAGCUAACGCGUUAAGUUGACCGCCUGGGGACUACGGCCGCAAGGCUAAACUCAAAGGAAUUGACGG